CAAAGGGAAUCUUUGGUUUAUUUACUACUCGACUUAAUUAAAAUGAAACGGUUUUAGCGAUCAAACAAAACAAGUUAUAUUAAACGUGUUGGAUUAUCAGAAAGAAACUAUGAUGUGCGAUUUAAGGAAAAAAACAGAACUGGGGCCGAAAUGUUAAAAAUUUCUGAAAAAUCUUAAUAUAAUUUGCAAAAAAGAACAGUUUAAGUGAUACGGAGUACAAAGAGAAUAGAUUUAAUGUUAGUUAGGGAAAUUACGUGUAAAACGAUUGAUUCUAACGAACACGUAACUAUUAAGUCACUUCAUGCUAGAGUUGUGGAAGAGAUACCGGACUUUAAAUUUGGACCCAGGAUACUAAACACAUGGGUUAGAAAAAUUGGUUUUAAAUCUUAUAAAAUUAAUAUAAUAAUAAUCGAUUGUUUCUAAUGGAGAGACCAUCCAUUAAGCCAAGAAGACCAAAAUUUUUGCGUGAAUAUCAAGCACCACAAAAAACACAAAAUUAUGAAGACCCAUUUUUCUGGAUGAAACAUGGAUAUUUAGUAAAGGUAGUUUAUAUAAAAAACAUGGCAAGACGGUUCAACACAAAGUGCAAUUAAAAAAAUGGGAGAAGGAUGUAGAUAUGUUGUAUACAUAUAGUUCACGCUGGCAAUUAUACGAUUUACUGAAGGAGCGUCUAUAAUUUUAAGGCAAAAACAAAAUCUGGCGAUUAUCAUGAUGACAUGAACCAGGAAAAUUUUGAAAACUGGUUUAAAGAGCAAUUAAUAUCCAAUUUUCUAGAACCGUCUUUUAUUAUAGAAAGAAAUUCCUCGAAAGAGUGGGUCAAAGAAAAAAAUGGUGUCAUGGUUAAACACAAAAAAAGAUAGGUUGUCCUGAAAAACCGAUAAAUGAUAAGAUUUGGAAUAUUGUGAGCAAUAGACUACCAAAAAAUUGUAUCAUUUAGAUCAGUAAACUCUAGAAUAGCGAUAUUAUGUUCUAAG